GAUGAACGCUAGCGGCAGGCUUAAUACAUGCAAGUCGAGGGGCAGCGCAGUGUAGCAAUACAUGGGCGGCGACCGGCAAACGGGUGCGGAACACGUACGCAACCUACCCAUAACUGAUGAAUAGCCCUCCGAAAGGAGGAUUAAUACAUCGUAACCUAGUGAAGUGGCAUCACUUUACUAGUAUAGCUCCGGCGGUUUUGGAUGGGCGUGCGCCUGAUUAGGUAGUUGGCGGGGUAACGGCCCACCAAGCCUGCGAUCAGUAACUGGUGUGAGAGCACGACCAGUCACACGGGCACUGAGACACGGGCCCGACUCCUACGGGAGGCAGCAGUAAGGAAUAUUGGUCAAUGGACGCAAGUCUGAACCAGCCAUGCCGCGUGAAGGAUGAAGGUCCUCUGGAUUGUAAACUUCUUUUAUCUGGGACGAAACCCUCGUUUUCUAACGGGAUUGACGGUACCAGAGGAAUAAGCACCGGCUAACUCCGUGCCAGCCGCCGCCGUAACAC
rnacentral:rRNA from 1 species